UUUUGCGUUUCUAAUUGAGUACCCCUGUCCUACAGAGACCAAUGGCCUCUUACAUGCAAAGUUGGUCCAGUAGGCGAUCAUGUAUCCAGAGACAUCACGGUGCUUGGGCCAGUAUCCCAGAGGGGUGGCGAAGGGCUUGCCAAAGACAAACUGCAAGUCCUCAGCGUGGUCAGCCCCCAUCCAGCUGGGGAACCCGGGAUUUCUAGAGGCCUGAGAGAACAGCGUUUACAAACAGGUUGGCGGGCUCGUCAGGCAGGAAGUCGCCAUCGAUGACAGGAGAGAGAACCAGUUUUUGGACAACGGGAGCUGAGGAAGAGACAUCCAAUCAGAAGGUAGCAGCAACGAAAAAAGGAAAAAGCCCCCCCCAACACACACACAAAUUAUACACCCUUUGUAAUUUACGGUCAGUUACUGUCAGUCACUGCACAAUGUCUGCACUGAAAAUUCCCCUUAAACGGAACACUUAGUUCUCACUGUGUGGAUAAUCGUAUUCAUUAGUGUUGAAUGACUAAAAACCUAAACCAAAACUGUAGGUUUAAAUCACACAAAAAUAACCCAAUGAAA